UGGGGAAUUUUGCACAAUGGAGGGAACUCUGAUGCAGCGACGCCGCGUGAGUGAUGAAGGAAUUCGUUUCGUAAAACUCUGUUCUAUGGGAAGAAAAGGACUGUACCAUAGGAGAAAGCUCCGGCUAAAUACGUGCCAGCAGCCGCGGUAAUACGUAUGGAGCGAGCGUUGUCCGGAAUUAUUGGGCGUAAAGGGUGCGCAGGCGGCUUUACAAGUUGGAUGUGAAAUAUUGUGGCUCAACCACAAACGUGCAUCCAAAACUGCAAAGCUUGAGUUAAGGAGAGGUAAGUGGAAUUCCUGGUGUAGCGGUGGAAUGCGUAGAUAUCAGGAGGAAUACCGGUGGCGAAGGCGACUUACUGGACUUAAACUGACGCUCAGGCACUAAAGCGUGGGGAGCAAACAGG
rnacentral:rRNA from 1 species